GAUGAACGCUGGCGGCGUGCCUAAUACAUGCAAUUCGAGCGAACGGACGAGAAGCUUGCUUCUCUGAUGUUAGCGGCGGACGGGUGAGUAACACGUGGAUAACCUACCUAUAAGACUGGGAUAACUUCGGGAAACCGUAGCUAAUACCGGAUAAUAUUUUGAACCGCAUGGUUCAAAAGUGAAAGACGGUCUUGCUGUCACUUAUAGAUGGAUCCGCGCUGCAUUAGCUAGUUGGUAAGGUAACGGCUUACCAAGGCAACGAUGCAUAGCCGACCUGAGAGGGUGAUCGGCCACACUGGAACUGAGACACGGUCCAGACUCCUACGGGAGGCAGCAGUAGGGAAUCUUCCGCAAUGGGCGAAAGCCUGACGGAGCAACGCCGCGUGAGUGAUGAAGGUCUUCGGAUCGUAAAACUCUGUUAUUAGGGAAGAACAUAUGUGUAAGUAACUGUGCACAUCUUGACGGUACCUAAUCAGAAAGCCACGGCUAACUACGUG
rnacentral:rRNA from 1 species